GAUGAACGCUGGCGGCGUGCCUAAUACAUGCAAGUAGAACGCUGAAGGAGGAGCUUGCUCUUCUGGAUGAGUUGCGAACGGGUGAGUAACGCGUAGGUAACCUGCCUGGUAGCGGGGGAUAACUAUUGGAAACGAUAGCUAAUACCGCAUGACAACAGUUAUUGCAUGAUAACUGUUUAAAAGGGGCAACUGCUCCACUACCAGAUGGACCCGCGUUGUAUUAGCUAGUUGGUGAGGUAACGGCUCACCAAGGCGACGAUACAUAGCCGACCUGAGAGGGUGAUCGGCCACACUGGGACUGAGACACGGCCCAGACUCCUACGGGAGGCAGCAGUAGGGAAUCUUCGGCAAUGGACGGAAGUCUGACCGAGCAACGCCGCGUGAGUGAAGAAGGUUUUCGGAUCGUAAAGCUCUGUUGUAAGAGAAGAACGAGUGUGAGAGUGGAAAGUUCACACUGUGACGGUAUCUUACCAGAAAGGGACGGCUAACUACGUG
rnacentral:rRNA from 1 species